rnacentral:lncRNA from 1 species
GUAGAGCUCAGUUUAUUGUUAGGUAUACAUGUUCCUCUUUGCCCCUUGUCAGUAAGUUGGAUCAGCUUUCUAUUCAUCACAUGAGAUAUUAGGGAAUUUUUAGUAGCCUCAUAAUGUGUUACAAUUAUAUGAGAGAGCCUUUGCGGUCAGUCCUAUUUCAUUGCUAACAUCAUUAUUACACACACACUUACACAUACAUAGGUAUCACUAAAUGUUACUGCAGAUUGUUGGAUGGUUUUCUUUCUAUUAUAUAGGAUCUUACAUUCCUUGUUAAGAUUCUCAAACAACGUUUACUUGUUAAGAGAUGAGAGGUUGAUUUAUAUAGCAGAUGAACUACAUGGUUUUACCUUACCUUUUAUGACAAAACUUUUGAAAUGAAAAUGUAGGGAAAAAAGGGAAUGGGAAGAGACA